rnacentral:rRNA from 1 species
UUUGACCUCAAAUCAGGUAGGACUACCCGCUGAACUUAAGCAUAUCAAUAAGCGGAGGAAAAGAAACCAACAGGGAUUGCCUUAGUAGCGGCGAGUGAAGCGGCAAAAGCUCAAAUUUGAAAUCUGGUACCUUUGGUGCCCGAGUUGUAAUUUGAAGAAGGAUACUUUGGUGCUGGCUCUUGUCUAUGUUCCUUGGAACAGGACGUCACAGAGGGUGAGAAUCCCGUGCGAUGAGAUGACCAGUGCCAUGUAAAGUGCCUUCGAAGAGUCGAGUUGUUUGGGAAUGCAGCUCUAAGUGGGUGGUAAAUUCCAUCUAAAGCUAAAUAUUGGCGAGAGACCGAUAGCGAACAAGUACAGUGAUGGAAAGAUGAAAAGAACUUUGAAAAGAGAGUGAAAAAGUACGUGAAAUUGUUGAAAGGGAAGGGCUUGAGAUCAGACUUGGUAUUUUGUAUGUCUUGCUUUCGGGCGGGGCCUCUGCAGUUUACUGGGCCAGCAUCGGUUCGGGUGGCAGGACAAUUGCGGAGGAACGUGGCACCCUCGGGUGUGUUAUAGCCUCUGUCGAUACUGCCUGUCUGGACCGAGGUCUGCGACGUUUGUCUAGGAUGCUGGCAUAA